rnacentral:rRNA from 1 species
UACAAAGGGGGCAAGCGUUAUUCGGAAUUAUUGGGCGUAAAGGGCGCGUAGGCGGUUCUUCAAGUCUCUCGUGAAAUCCCUCGGCUUAACUGAGGACGUGCGGGAGAUACUGAAGGGCUUGAGUCCGGAAGAGGGUGGUGGAAUUCCCAGUGUAGCGGUGAAAAUGCGUAGAUAUUGGGGAGGAACACCGGUGGCGAAGGCGGCCACCUGGGCCCGGGAACUGACGCUGAGGCGCGAAAAGCGUGGGGAGCGAACAGG